rnacentral:lncRNA from 1 species
AUGUUAAACUAAUCUAGUUUAAUAUCAAGGGCAAAGAUUAUUGUUUGAGCCGUCUCAUAUAUGAUAGGAGCAUAUUUAUGCGCCUUAGUUAGCUAGUUCUUAUGCAUUUUCGUUAUGUUUUCUUAAUUAAAGUAGUCUUUUGAGCUACUUUCAUGUGUUUUCAGGUUCAAAGGGCAUAUGACAUAAAAGAUGGCAAAAUGGAGCAUUUUAGAGCAAAAGUGAGCUUGGAUUGAAAAGUACAUGCUUGGAACAAGGAAUGGACGAGUUUGAAGGUCGAGGGAGCUUAAGAAAUGAAGAAAUGAAAGUAAAGAACAAAGAAGUCGGAAUUGGCAACUAAAGUUUCUAAAGUUGGAAGUUUCUAUUCUUGGAGGUUUCCAUUUUCGAGAGUUUCUAUUCUUGGCUUUGGGCUUUUGGAUGACCCAUCUUUGCCUCUUGGACCUAUGCCGCACCUAACCCUAACCCUAGCCCACUUAAUCAGCCGCACCUAGGCCUUGUUCACAUGAAAAAAAUCUGAUUACUU